AUGGCCAGUGAUCAGGAAUGAUGGGCACCAGGUUGAGGAAGGCUGCACUAAACCAUGGUUUAGUGUUACAGCCAAAUGCAGCCAGUGUUCUAAUUGAAGCUAUUGUAAAAGGUAAGAAAUCAAUCCUAUUCUACCUUUUAUAAAAAUCAAAUCAUUUUAACCAAUAGGCAAAUAUAUUUGCGUCCAACUCCUAAUGAUGUCAUUCAUUUUGUAACUAAAACCUGAAUGAUUCCAACUAUAUGCAUUUCAGCCAAUAAGGAUAAUGCUAAUUGUUAUUUACAGUUAAUGGUUAUUUUAGCUGCUUUCAUGGUGUGUAUGUAUAUCACCUUGAGAUACGUGUAAAAGUCAAUUCAUAAAUAAAUAAUAAUUUACCAACAUUGUGUUAGAAUUUAUGUGCUAAAAGUGUUUCCUCCACCGACCUGCUGGUUCCCAUGGCUUGCAACUCUCUAAUUUCCUUCCAAAAUGAAAAAUAAGUUUCUGAACCCUGGAGCCCACGCUGCAAUUUUUAAAGCAGAGCAAUGGAAUUUCUCCAAAAUCUCUCUUUGCUAAUGUUUUGUGAAAUGAACUGUUCAAGACCAUUCAUUUGAAAAACGGAAAAAUCUCUUCAAGGAAUGCCAUAAUAAAUGCAUGGCUUUCCCCUCCUGGGAUAAGCUGUUGCAUAAGCUACAAAAACUGGCACUCUGCUUCUUGAUUCAGAUCUUGUGCUGAGAUGCCAUUACCUAUUCAGUUCACGUGAUCCUGACAGAACUUCUAGCUGCCUCCUUUUACUUUUAGCCUUUUAAACUGAUGCUCCAAGACAAACGAGAGAAGAUACAGAGGCUCUGCACCCGGGAGAACUUGUACACAUGGCUUCCUCUUCUGGUCUUCCAGAUUACUAGCAUUAUCUGAGGAUAACACUUCAUGCAUGUGAUGAGGUUGGUUUUUUUCAUGGUUCCAGUCUGGCCCUUCCCGCUUCCUCAGUUCAAAAUGAAGACCAGGCAUGCUCAAAAAUAACAGCUUCUGACAUGAAAACGCAAGGCCAUUUGGGGGGACGUUGAGCUUCAAUAAAGCUCUUUGGAAACAUAGACAUCUUUAAUAUGCCCAGCCGCAGAAAAGCAGAGUGCAUCUGGGUUUAAUGGCUGAGUCCAUGACUAAAGGACAAGAGACUGUGGUUUGUAUGACCUAUCCAUUUGUUUAUCAGAAUAUAUAACGGGCUAAUUUUACAAUUGUAAUGGUAAGGAGGAGAUGGAGAUCAGGGAGGGUGUAGGUCAGCUGGAAUCAAGUGAACAAUGGCGGCUGAGAUAGCAGCAGAGCAUUAAUUUAAGCACGAGACUUGCACAUCACUACUGUUGAGCCUCUCUUCAUUCAGAGAAUGCUGAAGAUUGUUUGUAGAACUGCUUGUGAUUCAGAUUCAUCACCACCAGGGUUGAGAUUAAGGAGGAACAUGUAGGGGAGAUCUUUAUGAAGCUCACAAGCCCCAUCCCAUCUCCCCCUAUUUUUCAUAUCAUGUUUCCCCCCCAUAUCCUUUUUAAAAAGCCAUCACAAAACGUAUGGGGAUACCUACCUAUAAUGUGAUGCAUUCCUUCUCAGAACACAAGUACAGUAUUCCAAAGCACACCCAAAACUACAAUGUGAGCAGGCCUCUCCAUUUAAUUCAAUGGAAUCCCUUAUAUUACUCCCAACAAAAGUAAUCAACCAGGGCAGCCAAGCCUGCUUUGAAACCAGAUUGAAAUAAGUCUAGAUAGUUAGUUUUCUGCAAGCAUGCCUGAAGCUGGGUCCCACCCCGUUUUGAGCUCCUAUACACAUUUUUGCAAACAGUCUUCCC